GGUCCCUAUCUGCCGUGGGCGCUGGAGAACUGAGGGGGGCUGCUCCUAGUACGAGAGGACCGGAGUGGACGCAUCACUGGUGUUCGGGUUGUCAUGCCAAUGGCACUGCCCGGUAGCUAAAUGCGGAAGAGAUAAGUGCUGAAAGCAUCUAAGCACGAAACUUGCCCCGAGAUGAGUUCUCCCUGACUCCUUGAGAGUCCUGAAGGAACGUUGAAGACGACGACGUUGAUAGGCCGGGUGUGUAAGCGCAGCGAUGCGUUGAGCUAACCGGUACUAAUGAACCGUGAGGCUUAACCUUACAACGCCGAAGGUGUUU
rnacentral:rRNA from 1 species